UACGUAGGCAGCGAGCGUUGUUCGGAAUUACUGGGCGUAAAGAGUGUGUAGGCGGUGCUCUAAGUUCGGUGUGAAAUCUCCCGGCUUAACUGGGAGGGUGCGCCGGAAACUGGAGUGCUCGAGCGUGGGAGAGGAAAGCGGAAUUCCCGGUGUAGCGGUGAAAUGCGUAGAUAUUGGGAGGAACACCAGUGGCGAAGGCGGCUCACUGGACUGGUACUGACGCUGAGGCGCGAAAGCGUGGGGAGCAAACAGG
rnacentral:rRNA from 1 species